GUGUUUACAUUUCGCCAAAUGUUAGUUGUCACUCCUCCCUCAGUCCCUCUCAUCCCUCAAACUCAUUUGUAGGGUUUCGCCCAACACCACCAUCGACGACGGUAGCAGCGAUCGUCUCCUUCUCAUGGACGAGAGCCACAUCACCGCUAAUCGCAGACCCUUCGCCUCGUCGCGUUUCGAUUCCAGAAGACGGAGAUUUGCGUCUCGGAUCUCCAAUACGGCGUGCCGUUUCAGGUUCCAGAUACCACUCCGGUCUUCGAUUCGAUCGAUAUGACGGAUGCCGAUUGGGAGUUCAUUUCUGAGGAGCACAACGAUGUGGUUAAGGUUUCGUAUAACGGCCUUACGGGAGCUAGAUGCCCAUAACUGGGGAGUUGUCACAACAAAACAUCGAAGAUCGUUGUUGAUUUCGAUUUGAACUGAUGGAUCCUUCCUGCAAGUUGGCUGAAAGCAUGAUCAGUAUGUUUUGAUAAGAAACAGGUGAUCUGGAAUUUGAUAAGUACUUGAAGUAGAGCAAAACAUAGCGUUACAUAGUUUACCCAAGGCUCAUUUAAGGCUUAAUAAAGGUAAUAAUUAAACAUAAGUUACAGAGACUUUUACUGCUUUUGGCAUUGGUUUGGGUUAGCAUUUCUUAUUUUCUAUUAUUUAUAUACCAAUACUUGGGCGCAUUAAAGAAAUAUCAAGGACAUGAACUUUGAUUUGUGGAUAUGUUUUUCAAGUAUAAUGUUUUAAUGAGUUCAUUCCCUUGUCUGUAAUUUCCGUUUCGGCUGUUAAACUGUUAGUAAUGCAUUUAUGUUCAAUUCCACGAAGUUUCUUUUCCCUAUUGAUACUGUUUUAUUUUAGAGUGAAAAAGAUAGUAUUUGCUUGUCUUGUCUUGUCUUGGUAUUGUGCCUCUACUGUCUUGUUUGUUCCUUUUUACAUUUAGCUUCUGUUCAAGUACAAUCACAUCUGUUACGGUAUUCCAUUUCCAUUAUUGCUGUAUCGUCUCUGUUUCUGAAAUGGCGUGGCCAAUUGGUAUUGCUGGACUCUGGGAUGCAAUUUUAACUAUUUUGUAUUACAAUUAUAGUCCAAAUUACUUGCCCAUUUUAUUUAUUUAUUUAUUAUCUUGUCAACU